AGAUUUAAAAUAAAAUAUUAUGCUAAAAUUUUAUUUAAAUAGGUGGAAUCAUUCACCAAGUUACGGGAGCAUACCUGUAAUAGCCUAAAUCUGCCCGGGCUUUUAAAAAAAUAAAAAAAUAAAAAAAUAAAUGUUUGUUUAUUACAGUCCAUGUACAAAGCCCAAAAUUUAUUUACAGCCCAAUUACAUUCUAUUGACCCAAAUACUUAAAGCUACCCAGCAGACCCAUUACACCCUUAACCUAAAACUCAAUGGCCCAAGUAGACCCAAAGCGGAGAGGCCCGGAUGGCCCAAAUGGUUAGCAGAACUUGAAAGACCUAGGGUUUCAUAAGCCCUAGGCGCCGCAGUCAAUGUGACGAUUCGUCUCGCAAUGUUCCAGCUGGCCCUCAUCAAUGUUGGUCAGAUUGAUGGUCACUAGAUCCUUUGGGCAUUCCGAGCGUCACCACCGCAAUUUCAGGCUUCAUCACUGACCUUUGCACCUCCAUCGGUGCCGGGAUCUUCGCAGCAGAAGCCGUCCUGUGGUCAUCAAGGCAAGAUUCGCAUCCACACCGCGAUCUUCGCUGGAUUUUUGGUACCUGCAAGACAAAAAAGGAAACCAACAGACACAGAAAAAGAAAAUGUAAUAGAAAAGGAAACUAAGCGAACAAAGGCAAGAAAUCGAGCAGAGAAUAUUCAAACUUGUAAACAGAGGCUAUAAAAGCCGAAGGAUUUUACUGUAAUAGGGACGAGAUUUUUUUUUACAGAGAAAAAGAAUACAUAGAUUCAAUAAAAAACACAGUGUUACACAAACUUACAGAUACCAACAGUCGAUUGAGAGUAAAGGUAAUUAUUUUAUUUUUUUUUCCUUUUUACGGAAACAUGCAUACAUCGAAUAAACUACUGAAAUAUUAAAAGGGAAGAGGGUUACCUGUAUUUCGCUUGAAAGGGCGAGGUUUUAACCCUCCGACCAUCGUAUAUGGAGGCGCGUGAGGCGCGUGAGGCGCGUGAGGCGCGUGAGGCGCGUGAGGCGCGUGAGGCGCGUGAGGCUGAAUAGCUCGGAGGCCGAAGGCCGAGACUGGAACCCCUCUUUUCCCCUCUGCAGAGAGUUUCAAACUUUUUUUUUUUCAAAACUCGGUGUAAAAUGAAUUUUGGGCUUAAGUUUUGGUUUAUAUAGCCCUAACGAAACGGUGCCGUUUUGGUUUAAUCCAAUAAGCUUAAAACGACGUUGUUUUAAGGCUCAGGAUCCGUGUGUUGACCUGAUUACUCGGGGAGGAUCCUCGUGUUUUCAUAAAGUGGGGUAAUUGCCCAAUUGGUCCUCUCGCAAUUUUAAUCUUCAUAAUUCUUUUUAUUUUUUUAAUUUAGCCCUAGUUUUUAAUUGUGAUUCAAUUUGGUCCUCACAAUGGCUUUAAAACUGAAUUCGUGGAAACAGUGUCGUUUUGGG
rnacentral:lncRNA from 1 species